UACAGAGGUGGCAAGCGUUGUUCGGAAUUACUGGGCGUAAAGGGCGCGUAGGCGGCCCCCUAAGUCAGUCGUGAAAUCCCUCGGCUUAACCGGGGAACUGCGUCUGAUACUGGAUGGCUUGAGUUCGGGAGAGGGAUGCGGAAUUCCAGGUGUAGCGGUGAAAUGCGUAGAUAUCUGGAGGAACACCGGUGGCGAAGGCGGCAUCCUGGACCAACACUGACGCUGAGGAGCGAAAGCCAGGGGAGCAAACGGG
rnacentral:rRNA from 1 species